ACCCACUUUAUUAAGAUACAUUAUAUACAAUAAAGGCAAUAAUAUACAAGGAAUCUAUGGUACGAAUAUGCUAUAAUUUACAAUAGUUUUGGUUAAGAUAGCAUCAGCUAAGGGAAAUGGAAAUCAAUUUACCGAUUUUAGCGCUAAUGAAAAUGGUUCUGGAUGCAUCCAAAACCAAUCCCUAGACAAAUGCAAACACAUUAGGCAAUUCAUAGCUCAUGAGAAUGGUUUUGGAUGCGUCCAAAACCAAACCUAUAGGAAAAUGCAAAUCAAUUUACCGAUUUUAGCGCCAAGGAAAAUGGUUUUGGAUACAUCCAAAACCAAUCCCUAGACAAAUGCAAAAAAAUUAGGCAAUUUAUAGCUCAUGAGAAUGGUUUUGGACGCGUCCAAUACCAACCCUGUAGAAAAAUGCAAAUCAAUUUGCCGAUAUGUCCAAAACUAUCCUAGAGAAAUGCAAACCAAUUCGCUGAUUUUAGCAAAAAAUCUCCAGACAAAUGAAAACAAAUCAGUCGAUUUUGGUGCGUUUGGAAAUGGUUUUAGAUGCAUCCAAAAUCAAUCUCUAAACAAGUGCAAACAAAUUGACCAAUUUAUAGCUCAUGAGAAUGGUUUUGGACGCGUCCAAAACCAACCCUGCCGGAAAAUGCAAAUCAAUUCACCAAUUUACCGAUUUUAGCGCUAGUGAAAAUGGUUUUGGAUGCAUCUAAAACCAAUCUCUAGACAAAUUAGCCAAUUUAUAGCUCAUGAGAAUGGUUUCGGACGCGUCCAAAACCAACCCUGCGAGAAAAUGCAAAUCAAUUGACCAAUAUGUCCAAAACUAUCCUGGGGAAAUGCAAACCAAUUCGCUGAUUUUAGCAAAAAAUCCCCAGGCAAAUGAAAACAAAUCAGCCGAUUUUAGUGCUUUUGAAAAUGGUUUUAGAUGCGUCCAAAACCAAUCCCUAGACAAAUUUGCCAAUGUAUAGCUCAUCAGAAUGGUUUUGGAUGCGUCAAAAACCAACCCUGCAGGAAAAUGCAAUUCAAU